CCCUAUUGCUAUCGGGGUGAGACUAAGCCAUGCGAGUUGUGCGCUCUCUAGCCACGUUGGGAGAGCAGCGAACGGCCCAGUAACACGUAGUCAAUCUGCCCUUGGGACGAAUAUAACUCUGGGAAACUGGAGCUAAUACUCGAUAGGUGAAAACGCCUGGAAUGGUCUUCCACUUAAAAGUUACUGAGAACAUGCUUUCAGUAACGCCCAAGGAUGAGACUGCGUCCGAUCAGGCAGUUGGCGGGGUAACGGCCCACCAAACCUAUAACCGGUACGGGCCCUGAGAGGGGAAGCCCGGAGAUGGGAACUGAGAUAAGGUCCCAGGUCCUACGGGGCGCAGCAGGCGCGAAAACUCCACAAUGCGCGAAAGCUUGACAGGGCUAUCCCGAGUGCCAUCCGCUGAGGAAGGCUUUUACCCAGUCUAGUAAGCUGGGGGAAUAAGGAGAGGGCAAGUCUGGUGUCAGCCGCCGCGGUAAUACCAGCUCUCCGAGUGGUGUGGAUGUUUAUUGGGCCUAAAGCAUCCGUAGCUGGCUGAGUUAGUCCCCUGUUAAAUCCACCGAAUCAAUCGUUGGAUUGCGGGGGAUACUGCUCGGCUAGGGGACGGGAGAGGCAGACGGUAUUUCCGGGGUAAGGGUGAAAUCUUAUAAUCCCGGGAAGACCACCAGUGGCGAAGGCUGUCUGCUAGAACGCGCCCGACGGUGAGGGAUGAAAGCUGGGGUAGCGAACCGGAUUAGAUACCCGGGUAGUCCCAGCCGUAAACGAUGCAGGCUAGGUGUUUGGGCGGCCACGUGCCGCUCUAGUGCCGCAGGGAAGCUGUUAAGCCUGCCGCCUGGGGAGUACGAUCGCAAGAUUGAAACUUAAAGGAAUUGGCGGGGGAGCACCACAAGGGGUGAAGCUUGCGGUUUAAUUGG
rnacentral:rRNA from 1 species